rnacentral:rRNA from 1 species
AACGAACGCUGGCGGCAGGCCUAACACAUGCAAGUCGAGCGAGGACUUCGGUUCUAGCGGCGGACGGGUGAGUAACGCGUGGGAAUGUGCCCUUCUCUACGGAAUAGCCCUGGGAAACUGGGAGUAAUACCGUAUACGCCCUAUUGGGGAAAGAUUUAUCGGAGAAGGAUCAGCCCGCGUUGGAUUAGGUAGUUGGUGGGGUAAUGGCCUACCAAGCCGACGAUCCAUAGCUGGUUUGAGAGGAUGAUCAGCCACACUGGGACUGAGACACGGCCCAGACUCCUACGGGAGGCAGCAGUGGGGAAUCUUAGACAAUGGGGGCAACCCUGAUCUAGCCAUGCCGCGUGAGGGAUGAAGGCCUUAGGGUUGUAAAGCUCUUUCAGCUGGGAAGAUAAUGACGGUACCAGCAGAAGAAGCCCCGGCUAACUCCG